CGGAAGUGAUACACAGCGGUCUAAAUUAGCAUUUUGUGUACACACUAGUUCUUACUAAAGCUAUUGUAACUAGAUAUUUUAGUAAGAGCAUGGUGUGCAAUUGCAUCUUAUCGAUCACUGUAUGAUAAAUAGACGCAAUAUCUUGCACGAGACAGGGAGAGCUUGGUUAGCAAAUAAGCUACGGUAACGUAAUCUAGCUAGCCAGCCAGAUAAACAACCCUGCGUCAUCAGAUCAAUGCAUAUUUUGGGGAUGGAGUUGGUCUAACGUCUAGAAAACAAAGGGACGUGCCGAAAAUGGGUGCAUUUUACUGUGCGAUAUGUAGGCAAACAUCUUUCUCCGGAAAAGCACACAUCUUCGGGAAAAGUCAUCAGAGCAAACUCAAAGUCGUCCUUGUUAAAUUCCUUGAGAAGGUGAAAGAGGCGCGUCGAACGAUAAAAAAUCCCCAGGUGGAGAGGUUCGAUUGCACUCAGCACAAACGCAAAUGUUGGUGUUACUGCUGCGGCCUCCAGGUGGAGAGAGAUGUCACUGAUGGCGACAUCACUGUGUUGUUCGGGGGCUUGUUGGAACACAUGGCCAGGCCUGAACACAGGAAGGGCACCCACACAUUCUGGUGGGAGAACAAAGCUGACCCCAAACUGAGGGACAAGUUUAUAAUCACAGAAAAUGAAAUGGAGAGAUUUAAAACAGAGGUGGCAAAAGCUUUAGGCUCAUUUGAGGAGAAGGAGGAUGAGCUUAUCAAGCAGCAAGCCACUCAUAUCCGAGCUCAGGAACAGCAUCGCCAGGAGAUCCUUCAGUCUCUCAUAGAGCCUAAGGCAGAGCUGGAGCUAUCGAACACAGAGGGCCCUUGCAACUCAGUGGACGAGGCUUCCAGUAGCUCUCACUUCAGGGCCCCUGGAUCCGAUGAGCAGGCCAGGUCUGGUCGGGUCGACCAAAUGGUGGCCAGGCAGUGGGCGGGCCCUGGACAGGGCCUGACCUUCAUUGGCUACCAGGAUUCUUCCAACAGUGGAAAUGUUCACACAGGUUUUAAUGACUGUUGUAGGAGCCAUCCCUCCAUGGUUACAGGAGGACCCCCAGGAGGGCAGGUCUGGGACAAUGGAGCAGGAGAUCGGUCCAUCACUCCAGGACUUCCUCAAACAGAAGGAGCAGGAGAAGCUGAAGAAACUCCCCCCUAACCGGGUGGGGGCCAACUUUGACCAUAGCUCCCAGACCGAUGCCAACUGGCUGCCCUCUUUCGGCCGGGUGUGGAACAGCGGACGCCGCUGGCAAUCCAGGCACCAGUUCAGAGAGGAAGAGGGACAGACCAACAGACAAAAGAGAAAGAGGGAUCAGGGUGCUGAGGGAACAAAGAAACCCAAGCCGCCUGAACAACAGUGACUAUAGUAUGCAUUGUACAUAGAAAUGUUACAGAAUAAAGCAGUUAAAAAACAUGA